CCAUUCUAAGCGGUGGAUCACUCGGCUCGUAAGGGCGA
rnacentral:rRNA from 1 species